GCUACAUGAUGUAAAGAGAUGGCAGAGUGGUUUUCUAUAAUGAAGACAUCUAUCCAUCACCCAAUGACUGAUAGCA